UUCCUGGUAGUCCAGUGGUUAAGACUCUGCAUUUCCACUGCAGAGAAGUAAGGGUUCAAUCCCUGGUCAGGGAA
rnacentral:tRNA from 1 species